UGAGUGGUGGCGAUCACCAAAAUGUCCAAACUACCCUCAUGUCGCUUUCAUAAUUGUAUCCUGGCGCCAAUGCAUUAAGGGCAGUUUUGUCAUUCCAAAUACGCGCUCAGCAACUAAUUAUUAUUUGAGGAAAAAAAAAACUACCGUUAAUAGCAGGGGUGCGACUGUAAUUAUCUACAUAAUCCAGGGCAAUUUUACAGCUUCUUCUGCGCGCACUUUCAUCCCCUAUAUAAAUCACCCUCCAGAGUCAUCUCGAGACCACCUCACAAGUCACCAGAAAGGAGACCCUUCGAUAAUCACAAAAGCCAGCUGAUAUCUUAUACGAUUCUCUCUUCUAUUCCUCGACUUUAUAGGGAUUUAUUUUGCCUCUAGCUGUUAGAAUAUCGGUAUCUUCAUCGCUCUGUUUUCCUGUUUUUCAAUCGGGUUUGAUUUCAUUGGAGAUUCACAAAAGAAAGGUUUUUAGAAGAGCUAGGGUUAUCAGAUUGGAAUAUUUUCAUAUUGAAAGACCUCCUUUCGUUUGUAUGAUUGAGCUAUGCACUCGCUUCAAAUUUUUGCCUUGUUUCGUUUCUAGCUAUUUCAAAUUAAUAGGUAUUG